GCGUUUGACAUUUGUGAGUCUGGGUUGUUGCCAUUUGUGUUUUUCGUCGACGUCUGGCGUUGAUGGCUUCUUCUGCAUGAUGGAUUUGAGUGUAUUGAGUAUUGACCAUCUUCUCUGUCGCUCUUUGUAGUCAGAGAGAGAUGGGUUUCGUGGAAUGAAAAUAUGUGUUGCUCUUCUCAAUGUAAUCGUCGAGGUAUGGACUUUGUUUUGUAUAUGAUCAAAUCGUCAAGGUGAGGACAUUGUUCUGUAUAUGAUCCAUUUUGAGUUUCUAUUUCAAUUGUCCUGAUCGUCUUUUAUCUUUGUUUUAAUGCCAAAUUGCCAAUACUUUCACCAAUUCGUAAACAAGAGUCUAGGUUUUUAAUCGGCGGUGGUCCGGCAGACUCUGUGGGUUCAUUCUAUUAUCAGAAGUUUUGUGUUCGUCGGAUUGGUUCGGUGUUAGUUUGCAUGUUGACGGUUUCGUUGGUAGCAUAUGUUGUGGGAACAGACAUUGCAUUAACAUUGCCCAGGGAACAUUUAGAACCAGAUCAAAACCAUGUACCUCACACUGAUGGUUUGCGUGAGGAGUGGUGGGUUUUGUGGAUUCGAUAACAAUGAAGUUAUAUGUUCUUGCAGUGAUAGAUCUUACGACAAAACCUGUGAUGAUGAAUGACUUUUCUUUUAGAUCUCCCAAGUUCCAGGAAAACCACAUUACUAUUGGCUCUUGCAGGAAGAGUUGGUAAAAAUAUGAAAGUCAAGCCUUAUUUACUAGCAGGUGCUUAUGAAAUUAGAUGGGAACUUUCCUUGGUUCUUUUCACUUCCCUAUGGUGUUUGUCAAAAAAAUACUCUCCCUAUGAUGAGCUCCACAAAAUCAUGUCACACAACAUUCGAUAAAAAUUACGUAUUGAUGGUAUUUAAUAUAAUUCACUGAGGUUUGCUUUAAGAGUAAAGACUUAACUUAAGGCUUUGCUUUAAGCAGUUCCCAAAGAAUCCAGAAUUAUUGAAUGACUGUUAUUUUUUUGCAGAUUAUGAAUGCACAAAGAAAAUGAAGCUGAG